GUGCAGACACUUUUGAAUUAAGGACUACUAGCGUCCGUAACUGUGAGACAACAAGUUUCUGUUCUUAUAAGCCACCCACGUUGUGGUAUUUUGGUACAAGAGCCCUAGGAAGCUAAAACAACUUGGAAAAAGAAACCCCUAAAGGAGAACAGAUUCCACGAGAGCCAUCAUUUUCUUUAAGAGGGAUUAAUAGCAUGUACCAUGGAUUAAAGAGACAGCUACAAUGCUGAGAGCAGCAAAAUAGCACUUUCAUGGCGUUUGGUCUUAUUCAGAGCCACAAAAACAGCUUUUUUAUGCAAGGAGAAACCGGACAAAACAACAAAAGAUGAAUUUUUAUUUUAAGUCACUGCAGAGAAGGAAUAACAAGACAAUGAGUCACAGUCGUCCACCUCUGGUGUUGUGACACUUGAUCUUAAGAAUGUCCUUCCUUCCGUCUCGUCUCUGUAACUCCAAGCCACAUCAUCUUCAUGUCCACCAAGAAACUUCAUGUAUUUAUUUUUUUAUAUCAAGGUUCUGUGGGAGGAGAAGCCACCAGAACAGAGCUGUGCGUGGGAGAAAUGCCAUCUAGAUCUGAAAAGCCAUCUCACAAGGGCUCUAAUAUCGCAGUCUGUCUUAGCCUGGAAGCUCCAUUGAAACCUGUUCAGCAUCAUAGCAACACAUGACCAUGAGGAGCACUGGCCUGGAAUCGAACCUGGAUCUCCUGCAUGGAAGGCGAGAAUUCUAACCACUGAACCACCACUGCCCGCCAUAACUACUAAAGGGUUAAUGUUUAGCUAAAUUGGGGGGCCUUACAGGUUGUUAAAUGUUUAAAUAUCAUCCCUGGAGAGAGCAGAAUGUUGCAGGAGGGGGAGGAAGGGACACAGCAAAGACAAACCUCAUGUGCCCCGCGUGUGGCAGUUCCUUUAUGCUUUAUGCCUUUUUCUCAUCAUUGGGAUGCAGCUCAACUGUCAGGUCAUACGGCAUUUCCCACACUUGGGACAGGGGCAGGGAGAGUGACUGAGGAAGGUUCUGGGACCAGCAUUUACAAGGAUGUCCUCUGCUAGUCAGAGAACUGUGGUCAGGGAAUGCAGUUACUGGUGCAGGGUCAACUUUUCUUCUGUGUCCUCUCAAUGGGGCCCCCAGGGGUGCGGGAUCCUUACUCCCGUUUAGAAAGCACACGACUUAAUCCUGUUCCCCUCAGAACAUCGUCACGCAUCAAGGCAGCGAGCAAUCAACAAGCAGUUUUUGGGGGCACACUAAGCACUGGAGCCCAGGCCAGCUUUCAGAGACAGGGGGUGGAGCAGUUUCUACAGACAUCAUAAACAGGAAAAUUAAUCUCCAAGAUCUUCCUUUGCAAAGACAUCCUUUGAGGCUGACAAAAUCAGAAAAGGUUAAGACAUUUUGACUGCCUUCCAAAGCAACAUGGACUUAACCAGAUAAAUUCAUUGAAAAAUAUUUGGAAUAUUGCAAAAUCAUCUGGCCUUGGGGAACACAGUUUCCAAUAAUGAAAGGCUUAUUUUGAGAAACAUUUUCCACCAAUAUAAACAGAAUGCCAUACAGAAU